UACUUGUGGGCAAUAGAGUGAUUUGCGUCAUUUGAGGGCAGUUCCUACAGGUGAAGCAAGAGCUUUUGCAGAAAAGAAUG